GGAAGUACUUGAGUACAUGUCAAGCUGGACUAUCCCCGGAACAAUUGUUCAGUACAUGUCAAACUGGAGCAUCCCAGGCACAACACAAGAAGAUAUACUCCCUCCAUUUCAAAAUUUAGCCUUUUGUAGAGAUUUCAAUACGGACUGCAUAUGGAUGUAUAUACACAUUUUUAGAGUGUAGAUUCACUCAUUUUGCUCCAAUAUGUAGUUCAUAUUGGAAUCUCUAAAAGGGCUUAAUUAUAUUUAAGAACGGAGGGAGUGCAUAUCAAGUAAUAAAUAACAUGACAGGAUCAACAAGCAUUGUUAGCAAAAAUUGCAUUAGGGUACUGUACAUCGCAGGCAAUGCUUAGUCCAAAGGACUAAUAAUCAUCACUCAACAAACAUUGCGACUAAAAACUGCAUCAACGUUUCUAUGUUGAUGGUACACAACAGUUGCCUCCAGCCGUAGUUCUUCUUGCUCGAGCUUCUUGUCCUGGGAGAAAUCAAACUAACAAACACGAUCCAGUUAGCAAAAGUCCAUGUAUGCGUCAUACAUUCAUGCUUAAACCUGUGUGCUGCACAUACCUAAAGUAUGUUUUUUAUGCUAGAACUGGCAGACAAGCCAACUACUUUGUGGCUCAUCCUAACUUACCAAUAAUGUAACAAACUAUAUAAAUAUGAUUUAUCCUGUACAGGAAAAGGACACCAGUGAAUUUUAUUCAUAUAGUGAGAUUCGAACAACCGGCAGAAUUAGCAUUACAAUUAUUUUUUACAUAUAAACUUGAGCUCACAUGCGAAAGCAGAAUCCUAUUAGAAAUCCAUCCUUUAUAAACCUUGGCAUUUUCAGAUAGCCUGUCGAAUGUAAAAAUAAGUAAAAACCAUAUCAUAUUCUUUGGCAUUCUAUUCUUAUUCCUACCCACCUUAUAUAUAUUACAGUAGCACUAGUAGUACUAUGGAUGUACUGUACCCAUUGACAUCCGCAUACAGUAGAAUAAGGAGAAGAAAAAGAAAUCUAGGCUUACUAUAUGUGCCACUCAGACAGGUAUUUCAGGUUGUACAACUUUCUGUCCCUUACUAUUGUGAUUAGAUUCUACUUGCCCAUAUGUUACAUUGGCUAAUUUGUUUUUUCUCUUCUUUUCACCAAUGCACACAUAUAUAUUAUAUAAUGUAUGCUCAUGAAUUGGGUUUCCUAAUGGCUCCAUCCAUAUCUCGAACUAACGGUCAGAACUCAGAAGGGUGUGUCUAGAACUGGUAAAUUAUAAUACAAUACAUUUGUUAUAGGAAUUGGUAAUUGUAUAAUCUUCACAAUUAUAAAAAGAGCUCACUGUCCAUCAACUUUUCACUGAAUGAAUGUGUAUUGUGACGAUAAAUGGAACAACCGUAGAUAUUAUUAUUUUCAGUCCAACGUUCUAAAUUUCAAAUUGAGGAUUAUCUACCCGUCCUUAACCUACUAACUUGGUUCUCCAGAGUACUUAACAGUUAAACAUAAUGUCCAAAUUAGACUGCCAAACCACCAAGAACAGUAGCAAUACAUCAUCAAAUCGAAGUUGCAAAAGUGCAUCAUUCAUGCACGAGCAGAUUUGACAUGAACAAGUACAAGAAAAUAAAACUAAAUGCAUCAUACAUCUACUAGCUAAUAAAAUUGAGAUGGAGCACAAAUGUACUAGCUAAUACUACAAGUUAACAUCUACUCCAUUGCAGGUGAAUGAUUAACCACCAGAAAAAUUGAGAUGGGAGUAUUAACUUGUGGAGUAUUUACCAGAAAAGUUAACCACCAUGGUAACACCUUGUAGGUUCGCACCACGUCACAGGGGCUGGUCCGGAAGGAGCCGAGGAGCUCACCAACGAUUUGCAGCCGACGAGGUCGAGGAGGACGCGAGCUGAUGCUGUAGAGGCGGUGACGAACCAGUCGCUGCCGGAGCCUGAGAUGGGAGGCCGUGACGAACACACUGCGGCGCGGAUCUUAGCACUCCAGGAGCUCCGAUCUGGUUGGCUUCAAACUGGACCAUCGGCGAUUCGGAGGCACGGCGGGCACGAGCCAUCGGAGAGAUGGAACAUCACCUCCGGUGUGCGUACUCGCCCAGCUUGCUUGAGGGAUCCGGCCCGGCGCCGGCGCCGGCGCCGCCGUUGUGGAGGGGAAUUUUAGGUCGCUGCGACUACGUACGUACUACGGGAUUGGGUUUGAACGAGGACAUCGGGAAGAAAUUAACCUUCAGCGAGGGAGCUUUUUGCAAGUUGUGUACCCAGAUCGCUCCACCUGAAUCUGGGACAUCGAUCUUCC
rnacentral:lncRNA from 1 species